UGGACUGUAACUGACGCUGAGGCGCGAAAGUGUGGGGAGCAAACAGGAUUAGAUACCCUGGUAGUCCACACUGUAAACGAUGAAUGCUAGGUGUAGGGGGUAUCGACCCCUUCUGUGCCGCAGUCAAUACAAUAAGCAUUCCGCCUGGGGAGUACGGCCGCAAGGUUGAAACUCAAAGGAAUUGACGGGGGCCCGCACAAGCAGCGGAGCAUGUGGUUUAAUUCGACGCAACGCGAAGAACCUUACCAGGUCUUGACAUCCAGUUAAACUUAUAGAGAUAUAAGGUGAGCUUGCUCAAACUGAGACAGGUGGUGCAUGGUUGUCGUCAGCUCGUGUCGUGAGAUGUUGGGUUAAGUCCCGCAACGAGCGCAACCCUUACAUUCAGUUACUAACGCGUCAAGGUGAGGACUCUGAAUGGACUGCCGGGGACAACUCGGAGGAAGGUGGGGACGACGUCAAAUCAUCAUGCCCCUUAUGACCUGGGCUACACACGUGCUACAAUGGCCACCACAGAGAGGAGCGAACCUGCGAGGGGGAGCGGAUCUCAAAAAAGUGGUCCCAGUUCGGAUUGUGGGCUGCAACCCGCCCACAUGAAGUCGG
rnacentral:rRNA from 1 species